GUUGUAAUGCUUAAUGGUUUCA
rnacentral:siRNA from 1 species